CAGCAAUUGGCUAAGGGGCUGCGGCUUUCCGAACCCUCUCUCCCGCCCGUGACUAUGAAUGGACAUCGGCGUUGUCAGUCACCCGUACUGCGCCGCAACCAGGCCCUUGGCCGGUCUUUCUGUCUUUCUUUCGUCGCUGAUUCCUACCUCAUCCUGGGCAAGUUCAGGGUAGCACUUGGGAGCAGAGGAGCUUCGGCAAGGAAAGUCAGCCCGCAUGGCCCUAACGUGACCGUCGGUUAUGGGAGGGUUUUAGGCCUAGGAGGAGCGUGGAAAGCGCACAGAGGAACUAAGGCUUUGCUACCGUUGGUCCAGGCGGACUGUGAGCCUCCAGUUCAAAAGCUGGACAGAGUUGGCGGCAGCGAAAACCGAGGAAUCCCAGCUGCGUCCUUAUCUUCUUCUUCCCACCCCAGGUCAAAGGUAGAACCUGAGCCACUGCCUCUCGGGUGGGACGAACGGAAAAGGUCAUAAGAUCUCGUUGCCAGUCGCUCGAGACGCCCAGCGGCGUCCUGGCGCGGGUCACACAGCACCCUGUAACAGGCCUUCUUGGGUCUUCGCCACUGUGCCGCGUUCCCUGCCCCCGUCUCCCUCCCCAAGCCCUGGAUCCCCGGUCGGUCGCAGCCACAGGUUGCUGCACCCCGGUGCGCGGCGCCCCCCGCCGCGCAGCCUCCGCCGGGAGUUGGAACCCAACAUCUGUGUGCACAAUGCGCUCUCCGAGGCCCACAGCUGCAGGCACAAGGGGAAGAAAGGAAGGAGCGGGGGAGCAGAUCCUGUCACACGCAGAUGACAGUCUGCAGAGGGCUCUUUAGUGUCUCCUUUUCUGGAAGCCCUGGCGCCCCCCUCCCAGUUCCCUCUCCUGCCGCCUCCCCAUUGUUCCUAGCGCUCCGGACAGCUGGAGACGACGACCACACCACCCGCCGCUCUCCCUCCGCUCCCCUCCCGCCGCUCGCCAGGCGUCCCCUCUGGCAAUCCGCGGUCCCCACCAGGGCAGGGCCAGGCGGGGAUGCACCGCCUCGUACCCCACCCCCGGCUCCGCCCCGACCUGCUGGUGCCGGAGCUUCGCCUUCGUGCACCUCUCCGGUUGUCCGCCCCUGGCGGAGUCGGCGGGCAAGGCCCCUGGCAGGGCUUUGAGAAGAGAUCCAGUCCUGCGGCGCGCCGGCCUCUCAGCAGCGCGCUCCGGGGACUCCACUUUCACUUGUAUUUCUUGUUUUUACCGGGCCGGGAAGGCGCGCUUCGCAGAGCCCCAGGGCACGCGGUGCUGCAUGGGCCACGGUCCACGGAGCCACGUGGGGUUCCCUGCUGGCCCAGCCGCAUCCCGCAGCUCAGUUUCGGAGAACCGCGUGAGGACCCGGCAGUGGGCCCCAGGAUCCUGAAGCCACCGAAUACAGGCUGAACCCCAGAGUAGGGCAUGCAGCUCCAGGCCAGAUGGCCAGCUUUGUGUUCUCCACAAAUUGAUGUGACUUGACAAGGCAGAAAAAAAUAUAUCUUUUAAUUCAUGAAAACACUCUGGAAAAGUUUCCUGGCAGUCAUGACUCAGCUAUCUUGAAGAAUGAAUAAUGACGUUAGCUUUGUUAUUUUCUAAUGUUUUGGUCAGGAGGCCCUGGACUUCAUUUAAUAAUAAAUAUGAAUUUGUAUAAUUUUGAUAACAUUUCAGAAAAAUUUCAACACGAUACAAAACAUUUCUGAAACAUGUUGAUUGAAAUCAUUUAUAUAUGACAAAUGAGCACAUGAUUCACACAGAAGUUAGGGUUGCUUGACUAAUGAAUAAAAAAAUCUGGCAUUUGUAGAAUUUCCCAAGACUCACAAAAUGCCUAAACAAUAUAAGUAGUUUAAAAUGAUUUGCCGAUCCCUGCUAAUUCUUCUUUUUAAGUGUGCUUCACAUUUGUCAUGUGUAAAAACUAAUGUGCUGUGAUAAGAAUCUCAUUUUCAAUUUAGGGAACAAUGGACUGGUUGGUAGAGAUCACACAUUUCAGUGAUUAGAAUAAAUCUCCAGUGUUCUAAAUUAUCAAAGAAAACCUAUUUUUAAACAAAAUAGAGAAUGGCUGUUAUGGAAAAUACGAUUAUUAUAAAGCAAAAUACUUUUAGGAACUUAAAAUAUAUGGUAAGGUAGAAAAUAUUUUUUAAAAACCUUUUAAAAACCUGCUUCAUUUCAUAAAAUUCUAAGCCGAUUUUGUUUUUAAAAUAAAUGCUAAUUUAUAUAACUACAGUUCACCAACUAUAUUUCAAAUACUUUGGAUUUGGAAAUCCAUUUAUAAGAAUGAUUUAAAAUUAUAAUUUAAAAAUAGAACUAGAUCUUUGUAAACAUCGUAGCACUCUUCAGAUAGCUACUAAAGAGAAUAACAUUUUGCAGUACCAAGGAGUGAAUGAUGGGAAGCAAAGUGUUUCAUUUGGCCACCCCCCUAGUGACAUGCAGUAAUCAGCCCUGAGGAAACUUAAAAAGGUACUGGUAAGGUCCGUAUGGAAUCUGAAAUCUGUCAGUUGUCAGUAAAUAGCUAUUUUUAAGGCCUCUAUCCGGGUGAACAUUAGAUGGCAGUGAGAAGUCUCCCCUCCCUGUGGGAGAAGCCAGCCCACCACAGCUGCACUGCCGCAUCUUGGAGGAGUCCUUGCCAUGCACCCUGCAGCCCUUGACCCAAGUUUAACCCAAGUUUAUCCCUCUGUGCCGUUGGUUCCCAGCCUGGGAAGAGUCCUGGCGUAAGGACUCUUACGCCAGAAUAUACUGCUAUCAAACCAAGGUCUUAGCAUUAAAGUUCACAGGAAUUGAAAAAUACUGAAUUUAUUUGCUCAAAUAUUUCACUUCAUUAAAAACACGAAGUUUUCAUUCAAAAAAGAAAAAUGCAAGCCACUUUUUUGUUUUAAAAAGAAUUAUCAGAAUCACCUUGCUUUUAUCAGCAUUCAAGUUGGCUCAUAUUCUGAAUGAUCUAAAGUUUUUGAAAUCUCCAAAUAGUAACUCUAUUAUGAGAUAUAGUUGCUGUUCCCCCAGUGGCUUAACAUGAUAACAUGAAACCACAUCCUUAAAAACCAAAAAUGUACUUUAACAUAGAUUUAUGCUUGAUAGGAUGGUCAAAAAAGUCCAGAUUUUUGGACUUUCUUUUUCAAACUUUGACACAAUUCAAAGGACAAGAAAAGUCUCAACACCUUGUGAUUACUAUUACUAGUUUUGUCCGUUGACCACAGUAUUCUAAAAACUACCGCUCACUCUGGAAGGCUGAGGCAGGAGGAUUACAAGUUCCAGCCUAACGUGGGCAACUUAGAGACUAUGAGACCUUGCCCCAAAAUAAAAAAUAGAAAAGGGCUGGGGAUGCAGCUCUGUGCAAAGGCCCCGGGUUCAAUUCCCAGGUCCACAAAACCAACCAACAACAGGAAGAAAAAAAACCCCAUACACAACCACUGUUCAUGGGGACAGUAUUUAUAAACAGAACCAUCUUCCUGGAGUUCCUCUACUUUUCAGUCUACCUCCUUGUAAAGAUCUAGUUUUUAUUAUUUACAAAACAGUGUUACAAAAGGUGUGCUUAAGCACUGAUGUUCAGCGUAGUGCGUGUUUUAUGUUUGUGGACAGACAUAGUUCAGCUAGAAUUCCUUGACCGAACUCUGUGAGACUCAUCCCCAUGCGGCAAGAAGCUGACUUUUUUGAAAGUGGUUAAAUGGUGCCCUUGUGAUCCAGUGAAGGGAAACAAGGUGCUAUGUGGAGAGUUUCCAGGUAUCUCUGUUUUUCAGUUAAAAGCUCUUUCGUGCAUUUUGUCACUUACAAGUUGCAGGUCCAUUAUAGUUGUCUAAAAACAGCUUUUCCCUUGAAUUGCUCUGAAUUAAAAGUAGAACAACAGUUCAGGUAAACGUUUGUUUCACAAUUACAUAACUCGGCGAUGUUUGCAUAGACUCUCAGAAAGGUGCCAAUGUAUAUUUUAAUGCCUGAAGACAGGCUCUGAUGAAAUGAAAGAAUGGCCGCUGCCUACCGAGCUUGCCUCUGUACUGGACUCUGAGGAAAGGAAUCCCUAUAAAGUGCCGUCUCCUGACUAUAUUGCAAGUGGGUUUGUAAGCAUUCAGACUGAACAUGAACGAAGACUCAGAGCAACCAGUUGCCUGGUGUGGAGAAGACACAGAGCUCACCAUCACCCUAUAGAGUGAGUCUCGGUUGUCCAGAGCUCUGUACAAAUUCACUCGCAGCUGCUAGAGCCAGUCGAAUGGAAACAGCAGCUCCUCAUCUACAGACUCAGUCUGACAUGUGCUGCUAUCUACGAGGGAUGCUGGGCGUGGACGAUGCUGUGUGCCGUGCACUCUGACGCGCUUGCAGGCCGUCUCCUUGGCGCAUACGCCCUUCAGCUUUGCCCAGUCAGUUCAGAGAUUCCCAUCUGUAAUCAUCUCCACAGGCACUCCAUCUAAACUGGAAGUCUAAUCUCAUGGCUUUAAAUCGUUCUUUGCUUCUGAUUCCCCCAAACUGGAUAACUUCACUCGAUCACCCCUUGCUUUCUCUGUCCUUUUCUCCAGUUACUUUUGAGAAUUAAAAAAAAAUAUAAACUACCUUUUAAAAGAUCCCUUCCUCCCACUGAGAAUAUGUUUUUAAAAGGCCAUUUCAACAGAUUAGUGCUCUGAGUCUGGUAAGCUGUGUGGGGUGGCAGGGCAAGGCCUACCCUUCUGGGAUGCAUGGGGAGUGGCGUCACCUCUGGAACCUUUACUUUUCCUCUGUUGGGUUCCCAGUUUCCAUGGCGACAAUCUCUCUGUCCUCAAUGUCCAUCUCUAGGGUGAAGCUUGAGGCUUUCCUGUCCUUUGUCCUUGCCCCCCACCAGAUUCUGCCACUUUCUCAGGGUGUCACUUUGUCUGUCCCCAUUCCAAGCCCCACCUGUGUUAAGGGCAUUGGCCCAGGUGGCCCUGAUGACUCCUCCUGCAUCCACUUAGCUGGCUUCCUCCCUCCCUGAGAAUUCAGCACCUCUCCCUGACCUUCAGAGUGUCCCUGCCCCUUGUGUCCCUAUAUGCACUGCAGUCCUUAUCCCUGAUCGACUGCUCCAAAGUUAUUACAUGCAAAAGCCUAGCAAUAAACAAUUCACAAGUCUUCAGUUAUGCACUUGCCUGCUGCCCAACCUGCCCUGCCCUAGAUGGGAAUCAUGCCUGGACCCCCUGGCCAAGAUGUCUACAUGGCCUGCCUGGUUAGUCACUCUGAGCCAUCUCUGCUACCGGAUCAGCUGCUACAGAACCACAAGGCUUGUGUUCAAGUGACCUUUAUACUUAAUGACAGGCCCCAGUGCAUGAGAGCAGCAAUUCACGUAAAGCUUUUCUUUAUGACAUAAACACUCAGUCAUAAGAUCCAUAUUUUUGAAAAUGUUUAUGUACUUCACCUCUCAAUAAUUGAAAGAGAUGUUUUCAAAUCAUCUACUAUCAUGAUGAAUGUUUUGAUUUCUUCCUGUAAUCUUAUCAGUUUUUGCUUUAUGUACUUUAGAGUUAUUUUAAGAGAUGGGGAAGGAGGAAUCAGAUGGGAAGGAGAAAUAAAAAGAAUUAAGAUGCAUUAUAUACAUGCACCAACUCCCCACAAUGAAUGUAAAUCAUGUACUGCAGACAUUGACUAAUGAAAAAAAAUUCAAGUUCAAGGGGCUGGGGAUUUAGCUCAGUGGCACCACACCUGCCUCACAAGCGCAAGGUCCUGAGUUCGAUCCCUGGUACCGCAAAAAAAAAAAAAAUUUUUUUUUAAGUUCAAACAAAACAAGAAAAGCCAAAGAAAAGCCACACAAUGCUUCCUUCAAGUGAAGAGGUGAGGGUGCUCAAUUAAGGAGAGGGAAAAUCAUAUGUUGAGGUAACGGAGAUCUACGGUGAGCACAAGACACAGC
rnacentral:lncRNA from 1 species